CCCCGUUUGGAAGUUGAUAUUGAGGGCUAGAAUUUGGAAUUGACAUUAACCAGCCCCCAAUACAACUAUUUGGAAGAGUUCGGCAUUGGCGGACGGAAUUGCAAACGAAUACCGCGGGCAUUCGCAAACACUGCCGCCAGCCCGCCCACAAUUCAGAGCCCCCCGCCUCCGUUUUCCUCUGAAUCGAGCGCGCCCCUCCCCAUCGUACCACUUCACUUCGCGAAAAAAAAGACCGCGGGCUCAGGGGGAACCGCGGAAGGGCGACAGAGGGAGGCCGCCUCCGCCGCCGGUGGUCACCCUCGCCUCCGCCGACCCCGUCUCCACCGCAAGUGUGCUGCGUCCGGCCCUCCUCCUCGUGCUCUUGCAUCUCCGGCAAGCCUCCGCCCUUUUCCCUUCUCACUUCUACACCAUCUCGUUCCCGACCGCUCGGGAGAAAGGGCGACAAGAGAGGCCUCCGCUGCCGGCCGGCGUCGCAUCCCCAGCCUCCACCUCCCCGUCAUUUCCACAGGGACCUUCACACCAACAAGCGAACUGGGUUGCUGCUUUGGCCGAUUGAAGGCUAACAAGACAGCAGCUUGCUGCAAGACCAAAGUAGUCAAGAAUUGGGAUGCAAUAAGACCAAAGCUGUUUUUUUUCAUAUUUAUGACAUUUUUCAGAAUAUGCAUACUGUAUAUAAAUUUUAUUAUAAUGUAUAUUUGAAAUCAUUCCAAUAUAUGCACAAGUUAUGAAAAAGUACAUUUGCAUAAAUGUACAGCACA